AUGGCGAAGCGCAAGUCGAUGAGCUCCAAGAUGGCUCAGCGGAAGAAGCCGGCGCCGAAGCUUGAGACCUCCUUCUGCUGCCCCUUCUGCAACCACCCCGACAGCGUCGCCUGCACCAUCGACCUCAAGCUCUUGGUCGCCACCGCCGUCUGCUACGUCUGCGAGGAGGCCUACCACACCACGGCGCACUACCUCACCGAGCCCGUUGACGUUUACUACCACGACUGGAUCGACGCCUGCGAGAAGGCCAACCAAGAUGACGAAUGCUUCAAACGACAGCGGCGAGUCAGCAGCGACGACGACGACAGCGAUGCCUGA
rnacentral:rRNA from 1 species